rnacentral:rRNA from 2 species
UACGAAGGGUGCAAACGUUGCUCGGAAUCAUUGGGCGUAAAGCGCACGUAGGCGGCUUCGCAAGUCGGAUGUGAAAUCCCACGGCUCAACCAUGGACGUGCAUUCGAAACUGCGGAGCUUGAGUAUGGAAGAGGGUCGCGGAAUUCCCGGUGUAGAGGUGAAAUUCGUAGAUAUCGGGAGGAACACCAGUGGCGAAGGCGGCGACCUGGGCCAAUACUGACGCUGAGGUGCGAAAGCGUGGGGAGCAAAC